rnacentral:rRNA from 1 species
GACGAACGCUGGCGGCGUGCUUAACACAUGCCAGUCGAACGGACAGGCCCUGCUUUUGUGGGGUGCUCGAGUGGCGAACGGGUGAGUAACACGUGAGUAUCCUGCCCUUGACUUUGGGAUAACUUCAGGAAACUGGGGCUAAUACCGGAUAGGAGCUCUUGCUGCAUGGGGGGGGUUGGAAAGUUUCGGCGGUUGGGGAUGGUCUCGCGGCUUAUCAGCUUGUUUGUGGGGUAGUGGCUUACCAAGGCUUUGAAGGGUAGCCGGCCUGGGAGGGUGAACGGGCACAAUGGUCCUAAGAGACGGAGCAGAAUCAUACGGGAGGCAGCAGGGGGGAGUAUGGCAGAGUAGGCGGAAGCGAGAGACAACGACGCCGCGUGCGGGAUGAUGGCCUUUGGGGGGUAAACCGCUGUCGCCGGUGACGAGGCGUGAUUGACGGUAAUGGGUAAAGAAGCACCGGCUAACUACGUG